AUACAACCGUUCCGUUGGUGAACCAGCGGAAGGAUCAUUACAGAGAUCAUGCCCUUCGGGGUAGACCUCCCACCCUGUGUUAUUUACUCUUGUUGCUUUGGCAGGCCGCCUUCGGGCUCCCGGCUCCGGCUGGGGCGCGCCUGCCAGAGGACCCCAUAUUCUAAUGUUUACAUGUCGUCUGAGAAUUAUAUAAUAAGUUAAAACUUUCAACAACGGAUCUCUUGGUUCUGGCAUCGAUGAAGAACGCAGCGAAAUGCGAUAAGUAAUGUGAAUUGCAGAAUUCAGUGAAUCAUCGAAUCUUUGAACGCACAUUGCGCCCCUUGGUAUUCCGGGGGGCAUGCCUGUUCGAGCGUCAUUUCAACCCUCAAGCACAGCUUGGUCUUGGGCCCUGCCGGCAACGGCUGGCCUUAAAAACAGUGGCGGCGCCAUCGAGCUCUACGCGUAGUAAUUAUACCCUCGCGUGUGAGUCCCGGUGGAUGCUGGCCAGCAACCCCCAAUUUUUUAUGGUUGACCUCGAAUCAGGUAGGGAUACCCGCUGAACUUAAGCAUAUCAAUAAGCGGAGGAAAAGAAACCAACAGGGAUUACCUCAGUAACGGCGAGUGAAGCGGUAACAGCUCAAAUUUGAAAUCUGGCUCUUUCAGGGUCCGAGUUGUAAUUUGUAGAAGAUGCUUCGGGUGUGGCUCCGGUCUAAGUUCCUUGGAACAGGACGUCAUAGAGGGUGAGAAUCCCGUAUGUGACUGGCUGCCUCCGCCCAUGUGAAGCUCUUUCGACGAGUCGAGUUGUUUGGGAAUGCAGCUCAAAAUGGGUGGUAAAUUUCAUCUAAAGCUAAAUAUUGGCCAGAGACCGAUAGCGCACAAGUAGAGUGAUCGAAAGAUGAAAGGCACUUUGGAAAGAGAGUUAAACAGUACGUGAAAUUGUUGAAAGGGAAGCGCUUGCAAUCAGACUUGCACGCUGUUGAUCAUCGGAGGUUCUCCCCCGUGCACUCGGCAGCGUUCAGGCCAGCAUCGGUUUGGGUGGUUAGAUAAAGGCCUUGGGAAUGUAGCUUCUUUCGGGGAGUGUUAUAGCCCUUGGUGCAAUGUAGCCUACCUGGACCGAGGACCGCGCUUCGGCUAGGAUGCUGGCGUAAUGGUUGUAAGCGACC
rnacentral:rRNA from 1 species